AUGUGGUACCAUCAACGCUGCUAAUCGAACCGCUAUUGACUUCUUUGUAAGCUGAAACUAUGAAAAAUGAAAUACCGAAUAACGCCGGGCACGAAAAACAACUGCAUCCCCUUCGAUAACUGCUCUCCCCAAAAAACAACCAUAAUCUACAGCCUGUACUCUAUUCGGACAUAAUCGUCGUUCCUUGUUCUUUGUAAUUUUUAUUUCCACCUCGCUUCACUUAUCUGUAAAAUAUUACGGUUAGACUAUACGAAUAUCAAUUUUGGACAAAGAAUUUUGUGUACAAUGUAUAAUUAUGAUACGAGUAUGUAUUAGUUUUGAAAUACCUAGUUGCGUGACGCAAUAAUCGAUGAAAAAAAUGAGAAUAUCAUGUACAGCGUUUUCCAAGUAUUAAAAAUUGCCUCCACGCGUUGAUCAAUGCGACUUGGAAAAUGUUUUGCACGACCCGACCGUCAUCCGAAGGAAGAGCUGCUGUUUCAUUCCGACGUCUUUCAUUGCAACGACAAGAGACAAAAUCUUUUUCAAGCAUCAUUUGAAAGCCUCGGGAACGCGGAUUAUUGUUGCAAAUGAGUUCGUGAAUAGAAAGAUAAAUUUUUUUACUUUUGUGUACACCGGCACAAUGUAACAAGUGUAUAUUAUUAUAUAAACAUACCGACGAUAACGAUA